CCUACGGGAGGCAGCAGUGGGGAAUAUUGCACAAUGGGCGCAAGCCUGAUGCAGCCAUGCCGCGUGUAUGAAGAAGGCCUUCGGGUUGUAAAGUACUUUCAGCGGGGAGGAAGGUGUUGUGGUUAAUAACCRCAGCAAUUGACGUUACCCGCAGAAGAAGCACCGGCUAACUCCGUGCCAGCAGCCGCGGUAAUACGGAGGGUGCAAGCGUUAAUCGGAAUUACUGGGCGUAAAGCGCACGCAGGCGGUCUGUCAAGUCGGAUGUGAAAUCCCCGGGCUCAACCUGGGAACUGCAUUCGAAACUGGCAGGCURGAGUCUUGUAGAGGGGGGUAGAAUUCCAGGUGUAGCGGUGAAAUGCGUAGAGAUCUGGAGGAAUA
rnacentral:rRNA from 1 species